GUUUCAGAAUCAAGGUAUGAUAUUCAACCAUAGGCCAUAGUUUAAGAUUGAUUAAAAGCUUUAGAACAAGCCUGAAUCUUAAACUAUGGCCUGUGGUUGAAUAUCAUACCUUGAUUCUGAAAC